rnacentral:lncRNA from 10 species
GCAUGAGGCAGGUGUACUUCUAGAAUAUCAGUGACGGAAAAGGAAAUUGUGGCCUCUGGGAGUCUGGACUUGACUAUACUUCGCUACCCUUGUUCAGCAUGCCGGUUAAGGAAGACCUCUUCCACCAGCCAGUACUCUGUCCUUUGUAACCCCAUUUACAGUACCAGAAGGAUCUUCUAUGUGAGCUUUGGGUAUAAGAAGACAUACCUACCAGCUUCCUAGGAUGAGUCUUGAAAAUCACCUGCUUAGUUUUCUUAAAAUGAGAAUCUAUAGUUGUAUUUGCUAGUAUCUGCCUAAAGAAUUUCUAGAAGGUGACACAUAAAAAGAAGAACAACGAUGACCUAUUCGGGGGAACUGGGUAGUUGGGGCACAAUGGUAAAAGGAAGACUUUUCCCUAUAUGCUUGUGUGUACUGGCUUUUGAACAAUUUGACUAUUAUUCACACAUAAAAAUUAAACGUAAA